rnacentral:rRNA from 1 species
CGCGGCCUAUCAGCUUGUUGGUGGGGUAGUGGCUUACCAAGGCUUUGACGGGUAGCCGGCCUGAGAGGGUGACCGGCCACAUUGGGACUGAGAUACGGCCCAGACUCCUACGGGAGGCAGCAGUGGGGAAUAUUGCACAAUGGGCGGAAACCUGAUGCAGCAACGCCGCGUGCGGGAUGACGGCCUUCGGGUUGUAAACCGCUUUCGCCUGUGACGAAGCGUGAGUGACGGUAAUGGGUAAAGAAGCACCGGCUAACUACGUGCCAGCAGCCGCGGUGAUACGUAGGGUGCGAGCGUUGUCCGGAUUUAUUGGGCGUAAAGGGCUCGUAGGUGGUUGAUCGCGUCGGAAGUGUAAUCUUGGGGCUUAACCCUGAGCGUGCUUUCGAUACGGGUUGACUUGAGGAAGGUAGGGGAGAAUGGAAUUCCUGGUGGAGCGGUGGAAUGCGCAGAUAUCAGGAGGAACACCAGUGGCGAAGGCGGUUCUCUGGGCCUUUCCUGACGCUGAGGAGCGAAAGCGUGGGGAGCGAACAGGCUUAGAUACCCUGGUAGUCCACGCUGUAAACGGUGGGUACUAGGUGUGGGGUCCAUUCCACGGGUUCCGUGCCGUAGCUAACGCUUUAAGUACCCCGCCUGGGGAGUACGG